AACGAACGCUGGCGGCAGGCCUAACACAUGCAAGUCGAGCGAGCAUUUCGGUGCUAGCGGCGGACGGGUGAGUAACGCGUGGGAACGUGCCCUUUUCUGCGGAAUAGUCCUGGGAAACUGGGGGUAAUACCGCAUACGUCCUUCUGGGGCAAGAUAUAUCGGAGAAGGAUCGGCCCGCGUUGGAUUAGGUUGUUGGGGGGGUAAUGGCCCACCAAGCCGACGAUCGAUAGCUGGGUUGAGAGGAUGAUCAGCCACCCUGGGACUGAGACACGGCCCAGACUCCUACGGGAGGCAGCAGUGGGGAAUCUUAGACAAUGGGGGCAACCCUGAUCUAGCCAUGCCGCGUGAGUGAUGAAGGCCUUAGGGUUGUAAAGCUCUUUCAGCUGGGAAGAUAAUGACGGUACCAGCAGAAGAAGCCCCGGCUAACUCCGUG
rnacentral:rRNA from 1 species